rnacentral:misc_RNA from 1 species
GUGAACUUGAGGCAGUGAUUCCACAUAGCAGCUGCUCCCAAACUUCAACUCCUGGCAACUCACCACAUAGUCCACAUCCACAAUAGAUGUGCCAUCCCUAUAUGCUCGCAACCUCAAGAGCCGAGAAUCAACUGAGCUGCUGGUGCUUCUCCCAUGUACAUGCUUCUUGUCACCACUACUGCUACUGCCACGAGAAGACUUGCUCUUGUUGUACCUGCUCUUGUGUUGAUCCUUCUUGGCCCUAG